rnacentral:rRNA from 1 species
CGGCGACGGGUGAGUAACACGUGGGUAACCUACCUAUAAGACUGGGAUAACUUCGGGAAACCGGAGCUAAUACCGGAUAAUAUUUCGAACCGCAUGGUUCGAUAGUGAAAGGNGGUUUUGCUAUCACUUAUAGAUGGACCCGCGCCGUAUUAGCUAGUUGGUAAGGUAACGGCUUGCCAAGGCGACGAUACGUAGCCGACCUGAGAGGGUGAUCGGCCACACUGGAACUGAGACACGGUCCAGACUCCUACGGGAGGCAGCAGCU